rnacentral:rRNA from 1 species
CCUACGGGCGGCUGCAGUAGGGAAUAUUGGUCAAUGGAUGCAAGUCUGAACCAGCCAUGCCGCGUGCAGGAAGAAGGCCUUAUGGGUUGUAAACUGCUUUUGCCAGGGGAUAAAACGGUCCUGCGGGACUAAUUGAAGGUACCUGGUGAAUAAGCCACGGCUAACUACGUGCCAGCAGCCGCGGUAAUACGUAGGUGGCAAGCGUUGUCCGGAUUUAUUGGGUUUAAAGGGUGCGUAGGCGGUUUUUUAAGUCAGUGCUGAAAUACUCCAGCUUA